CAAAUCUGAUACAUCUGAAUUGUCAAUGACAAUGCUAGCAAGCUCACACAAUUAGAACCUGUUAAUGAUUGAAAGGGGGGGGGGUAUGAAAAUUUUCACUUACAUUGAAGGGGGUUACGGAAAUUUUUCCAUAGGUUUUUGGGAGGGUAGGGAAAUAUGUUCUUGAAAUUUCAUUUAUCCUCCACCCCCCUAUAGUAAUUACUUUAUGACCGGUCCCUAACGAUAUUUGUGAUUUAACUACGCUCUCAUAGAAAUUACACUAAUUUUGUUACAUAAUAAACAUCCUGCACACAGCUCGUGACAUUUAAC